CACACCGCCCGUCGCUACUACCGAUUGAAUGGCUCAGUGAGGCUUUCGGACUGGCCUAGAGGAGUCGGCAACGACACCUCAGGGCCGGAAAGUUAUCCAAACUCGGUCAUUUAGAGGAAGUAAAAGUCGUAACAAGGUCUCCGUUGGUGAACCAGCGGAGGGAUCAUUACAGAGUUACAACUCUCCAACCCGUGUGAACAUACCGAUUCAGUUGCCUCGGCGGGUUUUCGUGACCCGCCGAAGUGAUGCAAACCCUGUCUAACCUGAUAUCUGAUACCUAUACAAAUAAGUAAAAACUUUCAACAACGGAUCUCUUGGUUCUGGCAUCGAUGAAGAACGCAGCGAAAUGCGAUAAGUAAUGUGAAUUGCAGAAUUCAGUGAAUCAUCGAAUCUUUGAACGCACAUUGCGCCCGCCAGUAUUCUGGCGGGCAUGCCUGUCUGAGCGUCAUUUCAACCACUCAAGCCCUGUCGCUUGGAGUUGGGACUUUUUACGCCGUAAAAUUCCCCAAAGCCAGUGGCGGAGUCGGAUAGCACUCUGAGCGUAGUAAUUCUCUCGCUUUUGGGCGUGUCCGGCGUCCUGCCGUUUUUCUUAAUCAUAAAAGGUUGACCUCAGAUCAGGUAGGAAUACCCGCUGAACUUAAGCAUAUCAAUAAGCGGAGGAAAAGAAACCAACAGGGAUUGCCCUAGUAACGGCGAGUGAAGCGGCAACAGCUCAAAUUUGAAAUCUGGCCUUCUGGUCCGAGUUGUAAUUUGCAGAGGAUGCUUUUGGCGCGGUGCCUUCCGAGUUCCCUGGAACGGGACGCCUUAGAGGGUGAGAGCCCCGUACGGUCGGACACCAAGCCUCUGUAAAGCUCCCUCGACGAGUCGAGUUGUUUGGGAAUGCAGCUCUAAAUGGGAGGUAAAUUUCUUCUAAAGCUAAAUACCGGCCAGAGACCGAUAGCGCACAAGUAGAGUGAUCGAAAGAUGAAAAGCACUUUGAAAAGAGGGUUAAACAGCACGUGAAAUUGUUGAAAGGGAAGCGUUUAUGACCAGACCUCUGUCUGGCGGAUCAUCUGGGGUUCUCCCCGGUGCACUUCGCCCGGCUCAGGCCAACAUCGGUUUCUGUGGGGGGAUAAAAGCUCGGGGAACGUAGCUCCCUCGGGAGUGUUAUAGCCCCUUGCAUAAUACCCCCAUGGGGACCGAGGUUCGCGCUCUGCAAGGAUGUUGGCGUAAUGGUUAUCAACGACCCGUCUUGAAACACGGACCAAGGAGUCGAACAUUUGUGCGAGUGUUAGGGUGUCAAACCCCUACGCGUAAUGAAAGUGAACGGAGGUGAGAGCCCUUACGGGUGCAUCAUCGACCGAUCCUGAAGUCUUCGGAUGGAUUUGAGUAAGAGCAUAACUGUUCGGACCCGAAAGAUGGUGAACUAUGCGUGAAUAGGGUGAAGCCAGAGGAAACUCUGGUGGAAGCUCGAAGCGGUUCUGACGUGCAAAUCGAUCGUCAAAUUUGCGCAUGGGGGCGAAAGUAAGCUAUCCCUUUUACUUACGACGAUACGAAAUAUAUACUAACGAAUGAU
rnacentral:rRNA from 1 species